CUGCUUCCAAACUGGAAAAAUAUCCUGAAUUCAUACUCAGCCAAGAUAAGAGUUGGAAACACAAAUGCUCUUAUAAGGAGAGGAGAAUAAUAGUUAGGUUGUGUGUUUCUAUUAGAAUAUAAUCUGGAAGCAAAUUGCAUCUUUUUUUCUUACGGAACUAAGAAUUUACACUAAAGCCAUCUGGUUAUCUUUUUAUUUUUUUCCUUAAUUGUUUCUAGAGUCUCCACAUCCUUGAAGCCAAGGGGUGAAGAAUCAUAUUAUCAGCAGAGAAUUUCAUUAACCUCAUGGCAGGUAACACAGUCCUUACAUUUCAAUCAGGGAAUUUGCCACAGAAACUGUGCUUGGGGAUAGAUCAGGGAGAAAGAAGAGCCAGUAAGAGCCAGAACAUUCUAACAAACAUCAUCCAAGGCUUCACAUGGUGGGCCCUUGGUGGUUCUAAGCUCUCUCUUCACGGAUACAUAAUGGAUGCAGCAGUUCCGGCAUAAACGACUCAUGCUACAUCAUCCAGAGAAAGAAGAAGAGUAUCUUCUUGUAGUUUCUAUAAGACGGCUUGGUAGAAGUGAGGCUGCCAAUCUUCCACAAUCACGUGAUUAGAAAUGGGAAGUCUACAUUCCCCAAAGUAAAACCCGUGUAUUUGACCACAAUGAGAAGGCAGGACUCACACACAUACACACACACACACACACACACAUACAUACACACAAAGUAAGAGAGACAGACAGACAGAGACAGAGCAAGAAGAGAACAAGUAAGGCAAAAAUUAACCAUUGUUGAAUCUAAGUGUAGAAGGUAUAUGGAUGCUCACUUCAGUGUAUUAUUUUUCAACAAUUCUAUGUCUGUAAUUUUCAUGAUAAUGAUUUGGUGGAAAAAAGAAGGUAUGGAGGUCGUUAGCGCUGUUCACCAAGUAUUUUUAGUUCUUUGCCUUCAGGAUAUGUGGUGAGUUUACACGUCCCAGAUUCUUUGAAUUUAGAGGUGGACAAGUAAGUUGCUUUGCCCUAUGAGAUGGGAGCUACUGUCACUUCUGGAAGCUUCAUAGGCCCAUUUGUGAUUCUCUCUGUUCCCAUCCCACUGCUGCAGUAAUCAAGGAAGCAUAUAUGGAGAUGAAACCUCCCUCACCUGGGUCUCUGAGAGACUCUUUGAGAACAACCCCCAGACAAACCACAAUGGACGUGAACCUAAGCAAG
rnacentral:lncRNA from 1 species